GACGAACGCUGGCGGCGUGCUUAACACAUACAAGUCGAACGGAAAGGCCCUGCUUUUGUGGGGUGCUCGAGUGGCGAACGGGUGAGUAACACGUGAGUAACCUGCCCUUGACUUUGGGAUAACUUCAGGAAACUGGGGCUAAUACCGGAUAGGAGCUCCUGCUGCAUGGUGGGGGUUGGAAAGUUUCGGCGGUUGGGGAUGGACUCGCGGCUUAUCAGCCUGUUGGUGGGGUAGUGGCUUACCAAGGCUUUGACGGGUAGCCGGCCUGAGAGGGUGACCGGCCACAUUGGGACUGAGAUACGGCCCAGACUCCUACGGGAGGCAGCAGUGGGGAAUAUUGCACAAUGGGCGGAAGCCUGAUGCAGCAACGCCGCGUGCGGGAUGACGGCCUUCGGGUUGUAAACCGCUUUCGCCUGUGACGAAGCGUGAGUGACGGUAAUGGGUAAAGAAGCACCGGCUAACUACGUG
rnacentral:rRNA from 1 species